GACGAACGCUGGCGGCGUGCUUAACACAUGCAAGUCGAGCGGUAAGGCCCUUUCGGGGGUACACGAGCGGCGAACGGGUGAGUAACACGUGGGUGACCUGCCCUCAGCUCUGGGAUAAGCCUGGGAAACUGGGUCUAAUACUGGAUAUGACUCCACGGUGCAUGUCGUGGGGUGGAAAGCCUUGUGCGGCUGAGGAUGGGCCCGCGGCCUAUCAGCUUGUUGGUGGGGNGAUGGCCUACCAAGGCGACGAUCGGUAGCCGGCCUGAGAGGGCGGACGGCCACACUGGGACUGAGACACGGCCCAGACUCCUACGGGAGGCAGCAGUGGGGAAUUUUUCGCAAUGGGGGAAACCCUGACGAAGCAACGCCGCGUGGAGGAUGAAGGCC
rnacentral:rRNA from 1 species